UACGAAGGGUGCAAGCGUUACUCGGAAUUACUGGGCGUAAAGCGUGCGUAGGUGGUUUGUUAAGUCUGAUGUGAAAGCCCUGGGCUCAACCUGGGAAUUGCAUUGGAUACUGGCAGGCUAGAGUGCGGUAGAGGAUGGCGGAAUUCCCGGUGUAGCAGUGAAAUGCGUAGAGAUCAGGAGGAACAUCAGUGGCGAAGGCGGCCAUCUGGGACAACACUGACGCUGAAGCACGAAAGCGUGGGGAGCAAACAGG
rnacentral:rRNA from 1 species